CUGGCUAAGAGAGACAUGUAAGGGCUGGAUGUAAACUCCCAGAGGGCACCUCCUGGGCUAGAGAAGAUGCAGCAUGAGCUCAGGAAUUCAACACAACACGAAAUAAUCAACAAAUUCGGGGAAUGUUAAUCUGACCAUCACCAGUUACAAAUGAUGUUUCAUGCUACCUUCUAUUCCUGCCUUCAUAAAUCAAGGUAAUUACUUGGCAAUCUGGCUAUGCCUUGUAAGGCAAAAGAGCUGUUCAUUUCUUGUGUCAAAUGGUGAACAGGGAGGGAGAGUAAAAUGGUAAAUAACCCUGCCUCCCAUCUGUGCCCAAUCAGCUCUAAAUCUCCAGGAAAAAAUGUGCUCAGGAUGGCCAGAGAAAUGUCCUUCCAACUGUGCAUGGAAAGGUAUGAUUUUGUGCAGCAGGUGAAGGACUGGUUAGAGUAAGUGUGUGCUGAGCUUUUGUGUUUGAAAGCGAGCCUGUGCACUUCUAACGAUUGGAAGGUUUCCUUGCCUUCUCCGAUCUUACACACAGCAAGGACAGCAAAGCCUUCCAGACCUGCCUGUGACAUGCACUGCACAUUCUAAAGAUGCCUAUGCAAUGGAAAACACCACUGUCUGCUCCAGCACAGCUGCCAUUCUUCCAUCUUAUCGACCUUAAUGCAACAACUCCUCACAGGCAGAGAUUUUAAAAUGUGUUCUUGGCAGAAGAGAGACUCAAAGAUGGGACAAAUGUGUCAUUUAAAUGCCUGUUAAAAUGGAAACAGACAUAGUAUAGUCAGAGGAUUGUGGCAGCUAAGAACAUAGUCUCUGGAGCAAAUCUGCAUGGGUGGCAAUGCCAAGCACAUGAGGUCCUAGUUGUAUGAACUUAGGAAAAGAAAAAGAGAACAUAUAUCCCCCUACCUUUUGAUUUCCAACAGUCUACUGAGAGGCCAAGAUUAUUUGCAGGGAAAGAAAAGGGGAAUGCCAUCCCCACCCUCUCGCAGCUACG
rnacentral:lncRNA from 1 species